CAGUCAACGGUUCCAGUCAUUAGAGAGUUCCAGAAAUAAUAAUUAGUUCAACAGCAGUGGUGGCCAUUAAGAUUUGAUUAAUGCGUCACUGCUGACAUAUGCUUGUCACCGACACUUUAAUGUCGUCCAUAAUGACGAUUUAUUUCUCUCUCGGCAGGGCAGCAGAGCGGACAAAGACAGGAUGCCACAAAAAAAAAUAGACACGGCUAUCUGUUGGCUUGCUGUAGAAAUCAGGAUGCACUCGACUAAAAGUCGUAUUUCGGGAGUGAGGUGAGAGCCUUCUCUUGGGACCUGAGCCCUAGGACCAUGCCCCAGGACUAUCUGACAUGAUGACUCCUUGCUGUCCCCAGUCCACCUGGCCAUGCUGCUGCUCCAGUUUCAACUGGCCUGGGCCCUAGGACCAUGUCCCAGGACUACCUGACAUGAUGACUCCUUGCUGUCCCCAGUCCACCUGGCCAUGCUGCUGCUCCAGUUUCAACUGUUCUGCCUUACUAUUAUUCAACCAUGCUGGUCAUUUAUGAACAUUUGAACAUCUUGGCCACGUUCUGUUAUAAUCUCCACCCGGCACAGCCAGAAGAGGACUGGCCACCCCACAUAUGCUCUCUCUAAUUCUCUCUUUCUUUCUCUCUCUCUCGGAGAACCUGAGCCCUAGGACCGUGCCCCAGGACUACCUGACAUGAUGACUCCUUGCUGUCCCCAGUCCACCUGACUGUGCUGCUGCUCCAGUUUCAACUGUUCUGCCUUAUUAUUAUUCGACCAUGCUGGUCAUUUAUGAACAUUUGAACAUCUUGGUCAUGUUCUGUUAUAAUCUCUACCCGGCACAGCCAGAAGAGGACUGGCCACCCCACAUAGCCUGGUUCCUCUCUAGGUUUCUUCCUAGGUUUUGGCCUUUCUAGGGAGUUUUUCCUAGCCACCGUGCUUUUACACCUGCAUUGUUUGCUGUUUGGGGUUUUAGGCUGGGUUUCUGUACAGCACUUUGAGAUAUCAGCUGAUGUACGAAGGGCUAUAUAAAUAAAUUUGAUUUUAAGUGUCAGUGCCUAUCUGAUGAAGUAAGAUGAGGGGGUAAAACCAUAGCUCUGGUGACAUUAAUCACACGUGGGGAUGAUGAUGACAAGUGUAAUUUCAGACAAAAGAGACGACCGUUAAUAACUGUAGUCAGUGGAAGAAAUAAAUCACUUAGUUCCUACUGAAAGGCAGGCAGAAUCAUUAGCCUGUAUAUCAUACGUAAUUUAACUCAUUAAGUUCAUGAAUAAUAAACAAGGCAACAUGCAGAGAAUUUUUUAUACUUCUCAUCGAAGGUAUGAUGCUGUGUAUGUUCAAGUAAUGUGUGUGUAUAGUGUAUUUAUUGGUGAAUGUCUAUAUUAUAAAACAUUUUUGGGCAGAUUUAAAAAAUACAUUUUGCCCCCAAAAAAGUGAGCACCUGGGAGAGGCCAAAGAUUCA